AGAAAGGUUUCCUUUGAAACCAUUUGUACAUCAAAAAGGAUAUAAU
rfam:Capsella rubella cultivar Monte Gargano unplaced genomic scaffold scaffold_6, whole genome shotgun sequence.